rnacentral:rRNA from 1 species
GAUAAACGCUGGCGGCGUGCAUGAUACAUGCAAGUCGAACGAAGGAUCGGGCUUGCUCGAUCCUUAGUGGCGGACGGCUGAGUAACGCGUAGGUGACCUACCCCGAAGUGGGGAAUAACUGCCCGAAAGGGUGGCUAAUACCGCAUGUGGUCGCACGUUCAUUCGUGCGAGUAAAGCCGCAAGGCGCUUCGGGAGGGGCCUGCGUCCGAUUAGCUCGUUGGUGGGGUAAUGGCUUACCAAGGCGACGAUCGGUAGGGGGUCUGAGAGGACGAUCACACAGACUGGGACUGAGACACGGCACAGACUCCUCCGGGGGGGAGCAGUCGGGAAUUUUGCUAAAUGGGGGAAACCCUGAAGCAGCAACGCCGCGUGAGGGAUGAAGGCCUUCGGGUUGUAAACCUCUUUUGUCAGGGAAGAUGAUGACGGUACCUGGCGAAUAAGCCACGGCUAACUACGUG